UACAGAGACUGCAAGCGUUAUUCGGAUUCACUGGGCGUAAAGGGUGCGCAGGCGGUUGGGUGUGUCAGAUGUGAAAUCCCGAGGCUCAACCUCGGAACUGCCUUUGAUACUAUUGGUCUUGAAUGUUGUUGAGGUGGGCGGAACGGGUCAUGUAGCGGUGAAAUGCAUAGAUAUUGGGAAGAACACCGGUGGCGAAGGCGGCGCUCUGGACCGAGACUGACGCUGAGGCGCGAAGGCGUGGGGAGCAAACAGG
rnacentral:rRNA from 1 species